UUAUAUAAAAUACUUCAUAACUAUGUGUAAGAUGAAAGUAACUAUGCACUCACAACACAUACUUUAUAUAAAAUACUUCAUAUCUAUGUGUAAUAUGAAAGUAACUAUGCUCUCACUUGAGAAGGUGGUGAUUCAGUACUCGGACAACGCUUCGUUUACUUUAAAAUAAUUUCCUUUGACGAAACCUAGUAUUAUUACCACUAGAUUUUAGUCUAAUAUUUACCGUGACUAAUUAUUAGUCUUAUUAUUAUUAUUAUAUAAGCGUUUAAAAAAUACUUUCCAACCACUCUGUAUAGACAGAGGCCAGACAUAAAACACCGGAGGGCAAGACCAUUUUGGCAUAUGGCACUUCUGAAAUCCAACAACCCUAUGCGGCCCUUUAAACUAGAUUCCCCGUACCACGAGUAGUUAAAAAGAUAUUAUAACGACACUUAUAUAAGUCAUAAUAAUAGCUCAAAUAUUUAUUAUAAAUUUAUAAUAACAAUACUAAUUUUAAAUAUAAACUAUAUUUAAAAUAGGAUUAGCAAAACUUACAAGGGGAUUUUAGCUAGGAGUCGGGCUCUGUAGGGGCAGAACUUCGUCGCUGAAUCUUUCUAAGAAAGAUUCGUGCAGCGCUUCAGCGCUCACCUUACUAUACUAAAACUACAGAAAGAGAAGUCGAAUCACGAGGGACCGAAAUGCUCGGGGGAUAAGGAGAGAAAGACUCUUGAAU
rnacentral:lncRNA from 1 species